rnacentral:rRNA from 1 species
UACGGAGGAUGCGAGCGCUAUCCGGAUUUAUUGGGUUUAAAGGGUGCGUAGGCGGACGCUUAAGUCAGCGGUAAAAUUGCGGGGCUCAACCUCGUCGAGCCGUUGAAACUGGGUGUCUUGAGUGGGCGAGAAGUACGCGGAAUGCGUGGUGUAGCGGUGAAAUGCAUGGAUAUCACGCAGAACUCCGAUUGCGAAGGCAGCGUACCGGCGCCCAACUGACGCUGAAGCACGAAGGCGUGGGUAUCGAACAGG